rnacentral:rRNA from 1 species
UGGGGAAUAUUGCACAAUGGGCGCAAGCCUGAUGCAGCCAUGCCGCGUGUAUGAAGAAGGCCUUCGGGUUGUAAAGUACUUUCAGCGGGGAGGAAGGGAGUAAAGUUAAUACCUUUGCUCAUUGACGUUACCCGCAGAAGAAGCACCGGCUAACUCCGUGCCAGCAGCCGCGGUAAUACGGAGGGUGCAAGCGUUAAUCGGAAUUACUGGGCGUAAAGCGCACGCAGGCGGUUUGUUAAGUCAGAUGUGAAAUCCUCGGGCUCAACCUGGGAACUGCAUCUGAUACUGGCAAGCUUGAGUCUCGUAGAGGGGGGUAGAAUUCCAGGUGUAGCGGUGAGAUGCGUAGAGAUCUGGAGGAAUACCGGUGGCGAAGGCGGCCCCCUGGACGAAGACUGACGCUCAGGUGCGAAAGCGUGGGGAGCAAACAGG